rnacentral:rRNA from 1 species
AUUGAACGCUGGCGGCAGGCCUAACACAUGCAAGUCGAGCGGAUGAAGGGAGCUUGCUCCUGGAUUCAGCGGCGGACGGGUGAGUAAUGCCUAGGAAUCUGCCUGGUAGUGGGGGAUAACGUCCGGAAACGGGCGCUAAUACCGCAUACGUCCUGAGGGAGAAAGUGGGGGAUCUUCGGACCUCACGCUAUCAGAUGAGCCUAGGUCGGAUUAGCUAGUUGGUGGGGUAAAGGCCUACCAAGGCGACGAUCCGUAACUGGUCUGGGAGGAUGAUCAGUCACACCGGAACUGAGACACGGUCCAGACUCCUACGGGAGGCAGCAGUGGGGAAUAUUGGACAAAGGGCGAAAGCCUGAUCCAGCCAUGCCGCGUGUGUGAAGAAGGUCUUCGGAUUGUAAAGCACUUUAAGUUGGGAGGAAGGGCAGUAAGUUAAUACCUUGCUGUUUUGACGUUACCAACAGAAUAAGCACCGGCUAACUUCGUG